UACGGAGGGUGCAAGCGUUAAUCGGAAUUACUGGGCGUAAAGCGCGCGUAGGCGGUUUGUUAAGUCAGAUGUGAAAUCCCCGGGCUCAACCUGGGAAUGGCAUUUGAGACUGGCAGGCUAGAGUAUGGUAGAGGUGAGUGGAAUUUCAGGUGUAGCGGUGAAAUGCGUAGAGAUCUGAAGGAACAUCAGUGGCGAAGGCGACUCACUGGGCCAUUACUGACGCUGAGGUGCGAAAGCGUGGGUAGCAAACAGG
rnacentral:rRNA from 1 species